rnacentral:rRNA from 1 species
AGAUCUGGAGAGGUGAGUGCAAUUCCGAGUGUAGAGGUGAAAUUCGUAGAUAUUCGGAAGAAUACCAGUGGCGAAAGCGGCUCACUGGCCCGAUACUGACGCUGAGGUGCGAAAGUGUGGGCAGCAAACAGGAUUAGAUACCCUGGUAGUCCACAUCGUAAACGAUGAAUGCCCGACGUCGGAUAGCAUGCUGUUCGGUGUCCCACCUAACGGACUAAGCAUUCCGCGUGGGGAGUACGGUGGCAAGAUUAAAACUCAAAGGAAUUUGACGGGGCACCGCACAAGCGGCGGAGCAUGUGGUUUAAUUCGAAGCACCGCGCAGAACCUUACCAAGCCUUGACAUUCCGUGCCACAUCCAGAGAUGGAUGGUUCCUUUCGGGGACCCGGUGCCAGGUGCUCCAUGCCUGUCGUCAGCUCGUGUCGUGAGAUGUUCGGUUAAGUCCGGCACCGAGCGCAACCCCCAUCCUUAGUUGCCACCAUUCAGUUGGGCACUCUAGGGAAACUGUCUGUGAUAAGCAGGAGGAAGGUGUGGAUGACGUCAAGUCCUCAUGGCCCUUACGGGUUGGGCUACACACGUGCUACAAUGGCGGUGACAGUGGGGUAAUCCCAAAAAGCCAUCUCAGUUCGGAUUGGGGUCUGCAACUCGACCCCAUGAAGUCGGAAUCGCUAGUAAUCGCGUAACAGCAUGACGCGGUGAAUACGUUCCCGGGCC